UGGGUGACCUGAUCUUGAUCUG
rnacentral:siRNA from 1 species